GAAUGGCUCAUUAAAUCAGUUAUGGUUCCUUAGAUCGUAAAAAUCCACUUGGAUAACUGUGGUAAUUCUAGAGCUAAUACAUGCAUCAAAACACUGACAUUAUUGUAAGUGUGCUUUUAUUAGAACAAAAUCAAUAUGAAUUUAUUCCUUUUUUUGGUGACUCUGGAUAACUUUGGGCUGAUUGCAUGGCCUUGUGCCGGCAACGUAUCUUUCAAAUGUCUGCCCUAUCAACUUUCGAAGGUAGAUGAUAUGCCUACCUUGGUUGUAACGGGUAACGGGGAAUUAGGGUUCCAUUCCGGAGAGGGCGCAUGAGAAACGGCGACCACAUCCAAGGAAGGCAGCAGGCGCGCAAAUUACCCACUCCUGGAAUGGGGAGGUAGUGACGAAAAAUAACAAUAUGAAUCUCAUUUGAGGCUUCAUAAUUGGAAUGAGUACACUUUAAAUCCUUUAACGAGGAUCAAUUGGAGGGCAAGUCUGGUGCCAGCAGCCGCGGUAAUUCCAGCUCCAAUAGCGUAUAUUAAAGUUGUUGCAGUUAAAAAGCUCGUAGUUGGAUUUCUAGUCUUGACUUGCAGUUCGCCUAGCGGUGUUAACUGUUUGUUUGGACUUACCUCCCGGUUUUCUCUUGUUUCUCUUCAUUGAGUGGCUUGAGUGACUGGAACAUUUACUUUGAAAAAAUUAGAGUGUUUAAAGCAGGCAGUUUGCUUGAAUAUCUGUGCAUGGAAUAAUAGAAUAGGACCUCAGUUCUAUUUUGUUGGUUUUCGGAAUUUGAGGUAAUGAUUAGGAGGGACAGAUGGGGGCAUUCGUAUUACGGUGUUAGAGGUGAAAUUCUUGGAUCGGCGUAAGACGAACUACUGCGAAAGCAUUUGCCAAGAAUGUUUUCAUUGAUCAAGAGCGAAAGUCAGAGGAUCGAAGACGAUCAGAUACCGUCCUAGUUCUGACCAUAAACGAUGCCGACUAGCGAUCCGGCUCCGUUGCUUUAUUGACUGGCCGGGCAGCUCCCGGGAAACCAAAGUCUAUGGGUUCCGGGGGAAGUAUGGUUGCAAAGCUGAAACUUAAAGGAAUUGACGGAAGGGCACCACCAGGAGUGGAGCCUGCGGCUUAAUUUGACUCAACACGGGAAAACUCACCCGGCCCGGACACUGUAAGGAUUGACAGAUUGAAAGCUCUUUCUUGAUUCGGUGGGUGGUGGUGCAUGGCCGUUCUUAGUUGGUGGAGUGAUUUGUCUGGUUAAUUCCGAUAACGAACGAGACUCUAGCCUGUUAAAUAGUUUGCUGAUUUCUUGUCAGAGAAAACUUCUUAGAGGGACAAGUGGUGCUCAGCCACACGAGAUUGAGCAAUAACAGGUCUGUGAUGCCCUUAGAUGUUCGGGGCCGCACGCGUGCUACACUGAAGGAUGCAAUGAGUGUUGCCCUUGUCUGAACAGAUUGGGUAAUCUGUUGAACCUCCUUCGUGCUUGGGAUUGGGGUUUGCAAUUAUCCCCCAUGAACGAGGAAUUCCUAGUAAGCGCAAGUCAUAAGCUUGUGUUGAUUACGUCCCUGCCCUUUGUACACACCGCCCGUCGCUACUACCGACUGAUCGGAUCAGUGAAAUAAAUGGAUUGCUAUCAUCAUGGUGGUUUCCACUAUGUUGUAUGGGGAGAAGUUUAUUGAACUAAUACGAUUGGAGGAAG
rnacentral:rRNA from 1 species